rnacentral:rRNA from 1 species
GAUGAACGCUGGCGGCGUGCCUAAUACAUGCCAGUCGAGCGAACAGACGAGGAGCUUGCUCCUCUGACGUUAGCGGCGGACGGGUGAGUAACACGUGGAUAACCUCCCUAUAAGACUGGGAUCACUUCGGGAAACCGGCGCUAAUACCGGAUAAUAUAUUGAACCGCAUGGUUCGAUAGUGAAAGACGGUUUUGCUGUAUCUUAUAGAUGGAUCCGCGCCGCUUUAGCUAGUUGGUAAGGUAACGGCUUACCAAGGCAACGAUGCGUAUCCGACCUGAUAGGGUGAUCGGCCACACUGGAACUGAGACACGGUCCAGACUCCUACGGGAGGCAGCAGUAGGGAAUCGGCCGCAAUGGGCGAAAGCUUGACGAAGCAACGCCGCGUGAGUGAUGAAGGUCUUCGGAGCGUAAAACUCUGUUAUUAGGGAAGAACAAAUGUGUAAGUAACUAUGCACGUCUUGACGGUACCUAAUCAGAAAGCCACGGCUAACUACGUG